rnacentral:tRNA from 1 species
AGGGAUUUAGCUCAGUGAUGAAAGCACCUACCUGGUAAGUGUGAGGUCCUAAGUUCAAAAUCCUGGUAUCCCCC